rnacentral:lncRNA from 1 species
UUUGUUCUAUUUGUGCAAUGUGUGAGCACAAGACGUGUGAUCCGUAGGCACCCAGCUGUCACGAGUUUACGUUUUGUACACGGCAGACGUCGACGUGUUCCCAUGCACUGCAAGUGCAACUGCUUCCUGUUUUUAUCUAUGCGAUGACUUCCAUAGCCACUUAGGAGUAGUACUAGACCUGUAUUUGAGUCAGACUAAGUGAUAUGGCAGCUCCUCAUAAUCGUGCGGCGGAAGCUUUAAUGCUUCAUGAGGCAACAGCUGGGCGCUCAGGGCUGUCCAAGCUUGGUUCAGACCCGCCUCGUUUUAACGGCCGCGUGCGGAC